CGGUCCAGACACCUACGGGUGGCAGCAGUCGAGAAUCAUUCACAAUGGGGGAAACCCUGAUGGUGCGACGCCGCGUGGGGGAAUGAAGGUCUUCGGAUUGUAAACCCCUGUCAUGUGGGAGCAAAUUAAAAAGAUAGUACCACAAGAGGAAGAGACGGCUAACUCUGUGCCAGCAGCCGCGGUAAUACAGAGGUCUCAAGCGUUGUUCGGAAUCACUGGGCGUAAAGCGUGCGUAGGCUGUUUCGUAAGUCGUGUGUGAAAGGCGCGGGCUCAACCCGCGGACGGCACAUGAUACUGCGAGACUAGAGUAAUGGAGGGGGAACCGGAAUUCUCGGUGUAGCAGUGAAAUGCGUAGAUAUCGAGAGGAACACUCGUGGCGAAGGCGGGUUCCUGGACAUUAACUGACGCUGAGGCACGAAGGCCAGGGGAGCGAAAGGGAUUAGAUACCCCUGUAGUCCUGGCAGUAAACGGUGCACGCUUGGUGUGCGGGGAAUCGACCCCCUGCGUGCCGGAGCUAACGCGUUAAGCGUGCCGCCUGGGGAGUACGGUCGCAAGAUUAAAACUCAAAGAAAUUGACGGGGACCCGCACAAGCGGUGGAGUAUGUGGCUUAAUUCGAUGCAACGCGAAGAACCUUACCUGGGCUUGACAUGUAAUGAACAACAUGUGAAAGCAUGCGACUCUUCGGAGGCGUUACACAGGUGCUGCAUGGCCGUCGUCAGCUCGUGUCGUGAGAUGUUUGGUUAAGUCCAGCAACGAGCGCAACCCCUGUUGCCAGUUACCAGCACGUGAAGGUGGGGACUCUGGCGAGACUGCCCAGAUCAACUGGGAGGAAGGUGGGGACGACGUCAGGUCAGUAUGGCCCUUAUGCCCAGGGCUGCACACGUACUACAAUGCCCAGUACAGAGGGGGCCGAAGCCGCGAGGCGGAGGAAAUCCUAAAAACUGGGCCCAGUUCGGACUGUAGGCUGCAACCCGCCUAC
rnacentral:rRNA from 1 species